rnacentral:misc_RNA from 1 species
CCGAGUUCUAAACUCACAACCCAUUGUGAACAAUACCUUUGUUGCUUUCGGCGGUCAGGCUCCGGCCGCGCCGCCGAAGGGCCCUUAAACUCUUGUUUUCCUAGUGACUACUCUGAGUAAAAUCUUGAAAUAAAUCA